GGGGAAUAUUGCGCAAUGGGGGAAACCCUGACGCAGCAAUACCGCGUGAGUGAAGAAGGUUUUCGGAUCGUAAAGCUCUGUUAUUGGGAAAGAAAAGCAGCCGGCCAAUACCCGGUUGUUCUGACGGUACCCAAAGAAUAAGCACCGGCUAACUUCGUGCCAGCAGCCGCGGUAAUACGAAGGGUGCAAGCGUUACUCGGAAUUACUGGGCGUAAAGCGUGCGUAGGUGGUGGUUUAAGUCCGUUGUGAAAGCCCUGGGCUCAACCUGGGAACUGCAGUGGAUACUGGAUCCCUAGAGUGUGGCAGAGGGUAGUGGAAUUCCCGGUGUAGCAGUGAAAUGCGUAGAGAUCGGGAGGAACAUCAGUGGCGAAGGCGACUGCCUGGGCCAACACUGACACUGAGGCACGAAAGCGUGGGGAGCAAACA
rnacentral:rRNA from 1 species